GGGGCUUGCUGUCGAGCACCGAGGAGACGCGAGCAACAGCAAUGUGGGCUCUGGCGGCGUCGGGUCGCGGGUCGCGAGGGCGGUCUGCUGGCGUCGGUGAACUAACUGCAGUGGCGAUCGGUGGCCGGCGCAACGGUGGCAGAGGCGCAGUGGAGGAGGCGUGGUGGAGGCUGGCGUCGCGGUGCUGGGCAAAGGAGCAGGCCAUCAGACGGAGAUGUGGGCGCGAUCGGUCGUCACUCGGGCGUGUGGGAGCUCGGAUCUGGUUCGAGUCCGGUCUCGGCAGAGCUUCGGUGGGCCGAAGGGUGCGGCCGAGGUGGGUCGCAGACUAUCGGCGUUGCAGAGGGGCGAGAUUGGAGCGGCGCGGGGGGUGCGGGAUCGCAGCUUG
rnacentral:lncRNA from 1 species